GUAGGUGGCAAGCGUUGUCCGGAAUUAUUGGGCGUAAAGCGCGCGCAGGCGGUUCUUUAAGUCUGAUGUGAAAGCACACGGCUCAACCGUGGAGGGUCAUUGGAAACUGGAGAACUUGAGUACAGAAGAGGAAAGCGGAAUUCCACGUGUAGCGGUGAAAUGCGUAGAGAUGUGGAGGAACACCAGUGGCGAAGGCGGCUUUCUGGUCUGUAACUGACGCUGAGGCGCGAAAGCGUGGGGGAGCAAACAGGAUUAGAUACCCUGGUAGUCCACGCCGUAAACGAUGAGUGCUAAGUGUUAGGGGGUUUCCGCCCCUUAGUGCUGCAGCUAACGCAUUAAGCACUCCGCCUGGGAGUACGGCCGCAAGGCUG
rnacentral:rRNA from 1 species